UUGGGCAUUAGCCAAGCGGUAAGGCAACGGUUUCUGGUACCGUCAUGCACUGGUUCGAAUCCAGUAUGCCCAGU
rnacentral:tRNA from 3 species